rnacentral:rRNA from 1 species
AUAGGGGAGCCGCAGGGAAACCGAGUCUUAACCGGGCGUUAAGUUGCAGGGUAUAGACCCGAAACCCGGUGAUCUAGCCAUGGGCAGGUUGAAGGUUGGGUAACACUAACUGGAGGACCGAACCGACUAAUGUUGAAAAAUUAGCGGAUGACCUGUGGCUGGGGGUGAAAGGCCAAUCAAACCGGGAGAUAGCUGGUUCUCCCCGAAAGCUAUUUAGGUAGCGCCUCGUGAACUCAUCUUCGGGGGUAGAGCACUGUUUCGGCUAGGGGGUCAUCCCGACUUACCAACCCGAUGCAAACUGCGAAUACCGGAGAAUGUUAUCACGGGAGACACACGGCGGGUGCUAACGUCCGUCGUGAAGAGGGAAACAACCCAGACCGCCAGCUAAGGUCCCAAAGUCAUGGUUAAGUGGGAAACGAUGUGGGAAGGCCCAGACAGCCAGGAUGUUGGCUUAGAAGCAGCCAUCAUUUAAAGAAAGCGUAAUAGCUCACUGGUCGAGUCGGCCUGCGCGGAAGAUGUAACGGGGCUAAACCAUGCACCGAAGCUGCGGCAGCGACGCUUAUGCGUUGUUGGGUAGGGGAGCGUUCUGUAAGCCGUUGAAGGUGGCCUGUGAGGGUUGCUGGAGGUAUCAGAAGUGCGAAUGCUGACAUAAGUAACGAUAAAGCGGGUGAAAAGCCCGCUCGCCGGAAGACCAAGGGUUCCUGUCCAACGUUAAUCGGGGCAGGGUGAGUCGACCCCUAAGGCGAGGCCGAAAGGCGUAGUCGAUGGGAAACAGGUUAAUAUUCCUGUACUCGGUGUUACUGCGAAGGGGGGACGGAGAAGGCUAUGUUGGCCGGGCGACGGUUGUCCCGGUUUAAGCAUGUAGGCGGGUGUUCCAGGUAAAUCCGGAACGCUGUUAACGCUGAGGUGUGAUGACGAGGCACUACGGUGCUGAAGCAACAAAUGCCCUGCUUCCAGGAAAAGCCUCUAAGCAUCAGGUAACAUCAAAUCGUACCCCAAACCGACACAGGUGGUCAGGUAGAGAAUACCAAGGCGCUUGAGAGAACUCGGGUGAAGGAACUAGGCAAAAUGGUGCCGUAACUUCGGGAGAAGGCACGCUGAUGGUAGGUGAAGUGAUUUACUCAUGGAGCUGAAAUCAGUCGAAGAUACCAGCUGGCUGCAACUGUUUAUUAAAAACACAGCACUGUGCAAACACGAAA